AAGAAAACAAGAAGAGAGGGAAUAUAGUAGGCAUUCGGCCAUGGUGGUGCAAAAUCCACCCCUUGAAAUCCUGUCCCAAAAUAUUAUUUCUUCAUGUAUUCCUACUAAUUCAAUGGGCCUCUACAACGUGGUGUAGUUAUUUCGGAAGGUAGGUUGCUCGUUUCGUCGAUUUCGCACCUUGGUCAAGUGAAGAAGUUGGGAAGAAAAGAUUUUGGAGAAUUUGGAACUUGAAUUUGGAGAAGCGUAAGGAGCGGAAAAGGUACACCUAGAUGAGUUGAAGCUAUUAUAGAGACGUUUCAGCGAAGUUGGCGAGCUCCAUUUGGCCCUGGAGUGUAGCCGAGUCAGCAUACUAUGCUAUGAUGUUUUGUUCGAAGUUAGAGACUUUGCAGACAGAGUCGUGGGUAUAGAGUGUCGAUACUGUGAUCGGCUCCACUAGCCGACGUGUCAUUGUGUUAUGUCAUAAAGUCCAUGUGAUUGCAGAUUCUGUAUGAUUUGAGUACGAUGGAAAAAGAAAAGUUUGAAAGUCUUGUUAUGUUUUCCAUUUUUAUUGAUGUAAGAAUCUAAGGAAGUUAAGCAUGUAAUAUGAGUCAGCGGGUUCGCUCGGCUCCGAAUAUGGGGUCGGGUGCCCAUCGCACCAUAGUAAGGUCGGGGUGUGACACGUAAAGCGAUUUAUGACCCGUAAACCAUGGUCGUAAAUCACCUUGCAAGCAGCCAAAGCUUCUGGUUCUGUAAAUGGUUAAAGACGAUCACGAGGGACGGUCCGUAAACUGCAAUACGGGCCGUAAACCAUGAUGGACGACCACUGUUCACCUCAGCACAGAUUUUGCAAGUCAUUAAAUAAAGGGACCAACACUUGUUUUAUUUCAUUACAACAUUACACCACUUCUCUCUAAAACCUCUCUCAACAUUUAUUAUACAAGUUUUCAAGGAUAUUUGAGGAUCAACAACAUAAAACAAGGUGAAUCAAGGUUAAGAACAUCAUCAAAGAUCAUCUAGGUCAAGAAAUCCAAAUGGAGAAAAACUAGGGUUUUGCUCAAAGUGGAGUAUUAUUAACCAAAGCUUGUUCCUACAACUUCUAAGGUAAGAUUCAUGAUUUUUACAUGAUGUUUAAGGUAUUGAAGAGUUGAAAUACAUGGAUUGUAGAAAAUAUGGUCAAGUAGGUCAUGAAUGAUGAAUAGUGACAUUUUGAGGAAUAGUUUGAAUUGAAUCAUGAAUGUUGUUGUGUUGUGAUAUGAAUGUAUUAUAAAUGGUACUAAGAUCAUGAACUAGACACUUUAGACGAAUGGACGAAGUUGGAUGUUAUGACCAUGAAUAUGGGUGAAUUAGAGGCAAAUUAAGGAAUCUAGAUAAUGUGGAUAAUGUGAAUGACUAAUGACCAUUGUUAUGAUAUUAAUGAAGGUAUAGACGCUAGCAUUGGAAGGAAGCGUGCAAGUGUAGAA